UUGGUAUCAUAUCUAAGAAAUCAUUCCUGAUCCAAGGAAUGUUUUUACUCCUGUUUUCUUCUAACAGUUUUAUAGUUUUAGCUCUUACAUUUAGGCCUAUGAUUCAUUUUAAAUUAAUUUUUGUAUAGUGUAUGAGGAAGGGGUCCAACUUCAUUUUUUGUAUAAGGGCAUCCAGUUGCCCCAGGACGAUUCAUUGAAAUGAUUACCUUUGCCAUUGAAUUAUUUUAUACUAUUGCUGAAAAUCAAUUGACCAUAAGUAGAAGGACUUUUUUUCCUGUAUUCCCAGUUCUUUACCAUUGAUCUGUAUAUUUAAUCUUAUGCCAGUACUGCACUAUCUGAUUUGCUGAGGUUUUUUAUUAAGAAAGGAUGUUGGAAUUUGUCCAUUUUUUCUGUGUUUAUUGAGCUGAUUCUGUGGUUUUUGUAUUUUUUAAUUCUGUUGGUAUUAUAUUAGUUGAUUUUCAGAUGUUUACCUGACUUUGCAUUCUUAGAAUAAAUCCCAGUUGGUUGUAGUGUAAAACACUGGAUAUUUUAUAUGGCUGGAUGUGGUUUUGCUAGUAUUUCGUUGAUGGUUGUAACAUCCACAUUCAUAAGGAAUAUUGGUCUGUAGAUUUUUUUCUCUUGUGAAAUCUUUGUCUGGUUUUGGUAUGGUGGUAAUGAAUGAAUUGGCAAGUAUUCUCUCCUUUUCUAUUUUUUAAUGGAAAAGCUUGAGAAAGAUUGGUGUUAAUUCUUUAAAAGUUGAGUGGAAUUUAUUGGUAAAGCAUCUGGGCCUGGGAUUUUUAUGGGAAGUUUUUUUUUUUUUUUUUUUUUUUUUUUUUUUAAAGCAGUGAAACAGAUUUUAUUCAGUAACAAUUAACAGUAGAGAAAAGAGCUGAACUACAUUCCGAUUUGUGCAGAGGUGACUGGGCUGUUUCAAGGGAGAAUGAGAGAGUGGGAGGGGAAAUAGUGAGAGCUUGAGUAGAGUCAGGGAAGUGAAAAAUCCCAAAAAGCUGGAGGUGGGCACUGGGAGAAGGGGAGGUGGUAGCAGGUUGGUCCAUGUGAAACCCAUCUGGGUAACUGGCAUUUAUCAAACUUAGGCUCCUGCCCUCCAAAGAGUCUGGGAGAUGGGCCCAAUCUUCAGGUGUUGGCUGAAACAAACAGUAAAUUCCUCUGGCAGCCUUGAGUUUUCUUAGGCAGGCACUUUAAGGGAGACUAGGGCCAUCCUAGGGACGUGGCUUUGAUCUCUUAGAAAUUCAGUGUUAGUGGGGCCAGGCUCACUGGCUCACGCCUGUAAUCCCGACACUUUGGGAGGCUGAGGCAGUUGGACCACCUGAGGUCAGGAGUUCAAGACCAGCCUGACCAACAUGGUGAAACCCCGUCUCUACUAAAGAUACAAAAAUUAGCCAGGUGUGGUGGUGCAUGCCUGUAAUCCCAGCUAUUUGGGAGGCUGAGGCAUGAGAAUCACUUGAACCCGGGAGGUGGAGAUUAUAGUGAGCCGAGAUUGGGCCAUUGCACUCCAGCCUGGGCAACAAGAGCAAAAUUCUGUCUCAAAAAUCAAAACAAAACAAAAAAAGAAACUCUGCUAGUGUUUGUUCACAUCUUUCUAGGCCAAGGUUGAGGCCUAGCGAAGAAGAGGGCUCAGAGGAGCCAAGUAGAGCUUGGUCAAGGACAGAAUCUUUGUCAACAGCGCAUCCUACUUUCCAUUGCUGGUCUAUUAUGAUCCCUGCACCAGCUCUGCCAAGUAGGCUAGCCACUGACAUUCUUGCACAGAUUCAUCAG
rnacentral:lncRNA from 10 species